rnacentral:rRNA from 1 species
UACGGGAGGCAGCAGUAGGGAAUCUUCCGCAAUGGACGAAAGUCUGACGGAGCAACGCCGCGUGAGUGAUGAAGGUUUUCGGAUCGUAAAACUCUGUUGUUAGGGAAGAACAAGUACCGGAGUAACUGCCGGUACCUUGACGGUACCUAACCAGAAAGCCACGGCUAACUACGUGCCAGCAGCCGCGGUAAU